rnacentral:lncRNA from 1 species
CAGCGGUCCCCGGAGGCGAGCGCUGCUCGGCCCCGUGCUGAGCCCGCCCCAGGUCGGCCCUCGGGCCGCAGGUGCGCGCUCGCGGCGAGGAGAAAUCCCGGCCCGAGCGAGGAGGCCGGGGGCGGAAGGAGGCCGGAGAAGUCGUGUGCGAGGAGGGGUGAGAAGCGGGGACCGGACCCGCUCCGAGCGGCCGCUCCGGGCCUGUGAGCACCGCUGCAUCCCCCGCCCCCAGCCCUCCCCACCAGUCCCCUGAUGACCACAGCAAGGCAGGCUCAGCUGCAUUUUUCCUUCCUCUUCAAGGCGGAUAAAUCCACCAGGUAAUAGUAGACUGUACUUCCUGCAGCAAACACAGGCAUUUUUUUUUUUAAAAGAAAAAUCC